AUGAUCUCACCUCGAAUAGUAGAAGGACGAACAAACAGAGACAAAUCUGAAUAUGAAACAUAAGCAUUUAAAUUAAUAUAAUAUGAGACCCUUUUUUUGGUUUGCUGUCAAUUGUCUAGCUCUAGUCCUGAUUUGUCCUCGGUUGUGUGAUGGUUUCUGUUUUGCCCCUUAAGCUAGUAUUUGUUGUUCCUAUUUUAUCUGUUUUGGACUGAUUUUCUUUUGGUCUUGUUCCGGUGUUGUUUAAUGAUUCUUUGCAGUAGUAAAAAUAAGAUAGUUGGUAUGGUUGAUGUGGUUUUGCGGAUAAGGGGAUUAGUCUUUUUUGAAUGAACUAUCUGCCACAUUGCAACAUUGUGAGUAUAAUAGUGAAUUAAUUUUUAUUUUUAUCUUGUAGGUAAAUAAUAGAUCUAUGGGUGGUGAAUGUUUUGUUGAUAACUACGAAGAAGAGGAUGAAGAACACUUCUUUGAUGAAUCAGACGAAGAGGAUGAAGAAAAAUUCUUUGAUGACUUGGACGGAGAUGAGGAUGAAGAAUAAUUUGACUCAUUAAUUCUUGUUUAUUUUCAUUAUUUGAUGUAAUAAAUUUCACAUUGAAGACUAAAUUGUCGAUAUUCAUGACAAAAUUGAUUAAAUUUGGUUGGACAUUUAUUUUAAUGUAAUAAAUCUCACAUUGAAGGCUAAAUUGUUGAUAUCCAUUACAAAAUGAUUGACUUUGAAUAGGCAUUUAUUUUGAUUCAUACUAGAUUAUCAUAUAUAAUCA
rnacentral:lncRNA from 1 species